GCCCCAGUGGCCUAAUGGACACAGCACUGUCUUGUGGAGCCAGGGGUUGUGGGUUCAAGUCCCACCUGGGGUA
rnacentral:tRNA from 1 species